CCUGAUGGAGGGGGAUAACUNCUNGAAACNGUAGCUAAUACCGCAUAACGNCNCAAGACCAAAGUGGGGGACNUUCNGGCCUCAUGCCAUCNGAUGUGCCCAGAUGGGAUUAGCUUGUAGGUGAGGUAAUGGCUCACCUANGCGACGAUCCCUAGCUGGUCUGAGAGGAUGACCAGCCACNCUGGAACUGAGACACNGUCCANACUCNUANGGGAGGCANCAGUGGGGAAUAUUGCACAAUGGGCGCAAGCCUGAUGCNGCCAUGCCGCGUGUAUGAAGAAGGCCUUCGGGUUGUAAAGUACUUUCUGCGAGGAGGAAGGCGAUAAGGUUAAUAACCUUGUCNAUUGACGUUACUCGCAGAAGAAGCACCGGCUAACUCCGUGCCAGCAGCCGCGGUAAUACGGAGGGUGCAAGCGUUAAUCGGAAUUACUGGGCGUAAAGCGCACGCNGGCGGUCUGUUAAGUCANAUGUGAAAUCCCCGGGCUCAACCUGGGAACUGCNUUUGAAACUGGCAGGCUUGAGUCUUGUAGAGGGGGGUAGAAUUCCNGGUGUAGCGGUGAAAUGCNUAGAGAUCUGGAGGAAUACCNGUGGCGAAGGCGGCCCCCCUGGANAAAAGACUGNCGCUCAAGUGCGAAAGCGUGGGGAGCCAACAGGAUUANAUACCCUGGNAGUCCACGCUGUAUACNAUGUCGACUUGGAGGUUGGUUCCCUUNGAGGAAUGGCCUCCGGAGCUAACGCGUUNAAGUCGACCNCCUGGGGGANGUNCCCGCCGNCGAGGNUNAAACUNUNAUUGAAUUUGACGGGGGGCCCCCCCCAAGCCGGGGGCAG
rnacentral:rRNA from 1 species